CCUACGGGUGGCAGCAGUAGGGAAUGUUGCGCAAUGGGCGAAAGCCUGACGCAGCAACACCGCGUGAAUGAUAAGCACUUCGGGGUGUAAAGUUCUGUAAAUAGGGACGAAGGGUGACUGUACCUAUAAAGGAAGCACCGGCGAACACCGUGCCAGCAGCCGCGGUAAUACGGGGGGUGCAAGCGUGGUCCGGAAUCCUGGGGCGUCAAGCGUUCGUAGGCGGCAAGGUAAGUCUGAUGUUAAAGCCCGGGGCUCAACUCCGGUUCUGCAUGGGAUACUAUCUAGCUUGAAUGUGGUAGAGGUCACGGGACUUCCUGGUGUUGCGGUUACAUGCGUCGCUCUCCGGAG
rnacentral:rRNA from 1 species